rnacentral:rRNA from 1 species
CCUACGGGGGGCAGCAGUGGGGAAUAUUGGGCAAUGGGCGCAAGCCUGACCCAGCAACGCCGCGUGAAGGAAGAAGGCUUUCGGGUUGUAAACUUCUUUUGUCAGGGAAGAGUAGAAGACGGUACCUGACGAAUAAGCCACGGCUAACUACGUGCCAGCAGCCGCGGUAAUACGUAGGUGGCAAGCGUUGUCCGGAUUUACUGGGUGGAAAGGGCGUGUAGCCGGGUUGACAAGUCAGAUGUGAAAUCCUGCGGCUUAACCGCAGAACUGCAUUUGAAACUGUUGAUCUUGAGUACUGGAGAGGCAGAUGGAAUUCCUAGUGUAGCGGUGAAAUGCGUAGAUAUUAGGAGGAACACCGGUGGCGAAGGCGGCCUGCUGGACUGUGACUGACGUUGAGGCCCGAAGGCGUGGGGAGCAAACAGGAUUAGAUACCCCAGUAGUC